CAGAGAUGGUAACAUGCAAUAAAGUGUGUGUUACAUUGAUAUUAAAUAAGCUAGUCUUCGAAAAACGUUUAAUUAAAUCGGAUUCAGAUGCUUUAAUGCAGCGAUAUCUAAGAAUUGCAUUAGAAUAUGCAAAUAAAGCAUUUAGAUGUUGCGCCUUUUUCAAAGAAGCUCUAAUUUUCUGCCUGCAAAAGCAAUAUCAAAU